UCCGGUUGAUCCUGCCRGACCCGACUGCUAUCAGAGUGAGACUAAGCCAUGCGAGUUAACGUAUGAAUAAUACGUGGCACACGGCUCAGUAACACGUAGUCAACAUGCCCAGAGGACGUGGAUAACCUCGGGAAACUGAGGAUAAACCGCGAUAGGCCAUAAUUACUGGAAUGGGUUAUGGCUUAAACCUAUAUGGCCUCUGGAUUGGACUGCGGCCGAUCAGGCUGUUGGUGAGGUAAUGGCCCACCAAACCUGUUACCGGUACGGGCUCUGAGAGGAGGAGCCCGGAGAUGGGCACUGAGACAAGGGCCCAGGCCCUAUGGGGCGCAGCAGGCGCGAAACCUCUGCAAUAGGCGAAAGCCUGACAGGGUUACUCUGAGUGACUUUCGCUAAGAAAGUCUUUUGGCACCUCUAAAAAGGGUGCAGAAUAAGGGGUGGGCAAGUCUGGUGUCAGCCGCCGCGGUAAUACCAGCACCCCGAGUGGUCGGGACGAUUAUUGGGCCUAAAGCAUCCGUAGCCGGUUCUGCAAGUCCCCCGUUAAAUCCAGCUGCUCAACAGAUGGGCCGCGGAGGAUACUACAGAGCUAGGAGGCAGGAGAGGCAAGCGGUACUCAGUGGGUAGGGGUAAAAUCCGUUGAUCCAUUGAAGACCACCAGUGGCGAAGGCGGCUUGCCAGAAUGCGCUCGACGGUGAGGGAUGAAAGCUGGGGGAGCAAACCGGAUUAGAUACCCGGGUAGUCCCAGCCGUAAACGAUGCAGACUCGGUGAUGGGUUGGCUUCGCGCUAACCCAGUGCCGCAGGGAAGCCGUUAAGUCUGCCGCCUGGGUAGUACGGUCGCAAGACUGAAACUUAAAGGAAUUGGCGGGGGAGCACCACAAGGGGUGAAGCCUGCGGUUCAAUUGGAKUCAACGCCGGRA
rnacentral:rRNA from 1 species